AUUGAACGCUGGCGGCAUGCCUUACACAUGCAAGUCGAACGGUAACGCGGGGCAACCUGGCGACGAGUGGCGAACGGGUGAGUAAUGCAUCGGAACGUGCCCAGUAGUGGGGGAUAGCCCGGCGAAAGCCGGAUUAAUACCGCAUACGACCUACGGGUGAAAGCGGGGGACCGUAAGGCCUCGCGCUAUUGGAGCGGCCGAUGUCAGAUUAGGUUGUUGGUGGGGUAAAAGCCUACCAAGCCGACGAUCUGUAGCUGGUCUGAGAGGACGACCGGCCACACUGGGACUUAGACACGGCCCAGACUCCUACGGGAGGCAGCAGUGGGGAAUUUUGGACAAUGGGGGCAUCCCUGAUCCAGCCAUGCCGCGUGCGGGAAGAAGGCCUUCGGGUUGUAAACCGCUUUUGUCAGGGAAGAAACGCUCUGGGCUAAUACCCCGGGGUAAUGACGGUACCUGAAGAAUAAGCACCGGCUAACUACGUGCCAGCCGCCGCAGUAACAC
rnacentral:rRNA from 1 species